UAGUAUGAAACCAACUCCCCUGCGGUUUCUUUUUAGUCCUGCUCUGCAAAGGAAACCGCGAACCCAUUUCUUCAUUCCCACUUUCUCUCUCUAAAACCUCUUCCCACUCUCUUUCUCUCUCUAACUCUUUCCCUCCUUCUCGGCUUCAUCUCUGUUCAGUGCUUCUUAACCAUGGAUCGUUUCAUUAUCCUCUCUUCUCACUUCCCUCUCUAAUGUUUCUUCAUUAUUUUUUUCAUUGUUUCCUGUUCUCUCUCUCUAUACAUUCUUUUUCUCUCACAUCUAAGAAGUUGGAGAGAUUUUGUUCGGGGGUCUGGUUUCUCGGGUCCCUUUGUUUUUCGCGAUUAUUGUGUUGUUGGGGAUAUUGGUUGCAGAGAGGAAUUGGGGUUGAAGCGAAUUGCUUGGGUCUUUUUGGUUUGUUGUUUUGGGUAGAUCUGGUUAGGGACUGGUCUUUUAUGGUUAGAAUCUCGACCCCAAAGCCUGGGAAAUCUCUCGAGCUUUGGGGUUAGCUUGGUUGUAGAAGAUUGGGGUUAGAUAGAGAGAGAGAGGGAUUCUGCAGUUUUGAUUGCAUAUAGUGGUGAAGGAUCGGAAGGAUGAAGCGUUCUCGAGAAGAUGGUUACAUGGGUUCUCAACCCAGGCGUUCCAAUGGCCCUGCUCGUGGGGAACCGUCUGGACAACCCCAACAACAAUCUGUUGGCACUCAGAAGCUUACGACAAACGAUGCACUCGCCUAUCUGAAGGCUGUGAAAGAUAUGUUUCUGGAUAAGAAGGAAAAAUAUGAUGAAUUUCUGGAAGUCAUGAAGCAGUUCAAGGCUGCAAUGAUCGACACAGCAGGUGUUAUAACUAGGGUGAAGGAAUUGUUCAAGGGUCACCGCAACCUCAUUUUAGGUUUUAAUACUUUCUUGCCUAAGGGUUAUGAGAUUACUCUUCCACUCGAGGAUGAGCCUCCUCCAAAGAAACCCGUAGAAUUUGACGAAGCAAUCAACUAUGUAAACAAGAUAAAGGUGAGGCAAUAUUUGAACGUUUUCAACUAUGUAAACAAGAUAAAGACUCGUUUCCAAUAUGAUGAGCAAGUUUACAAAUCUUUUUUGGAGAUUUUGAAUCUGUACCGGAAAAGGAACAAGUCAAUCAAUGAGGUUUACCAGGAGGUGGCUCUUUUAUUUCAUGAUCACCAAGAUUUACUUGAGGAGUUCACUCAUUUCCUUCCUGAUUCGCAAGCCAUGGCUAAUACUCAACAUGCAUCCUCUGCUCGAAACUCAUCCAUCAAUGUUUUGCGUAGGGAGGACAAGAGCCUUGGGAUGCCUGUCAUAAGGCAAUCUCAUGGAGAGAAGAGGGAUAGAGGAGUCCACAUGGACCGUGAUCUCAGUGUUGACUGUCCCGAUCCUGAACAUGACAAAUCUUCUGGCAAAGUUGACAAGGAGCAAAAGAAGCGGGUUGACAAGGAGAAGAAGGAUAGGAGAGAGCGUGGUGAUAAGGAUGAUAAAGAUUCAGAGCAUGACCGGGAAAGGGAGAGGGACAGGGAUUUGGAUAAUAUGCAGCGUCACAAGCGCAAGUCUGCUAGGGUUGCGGAUGAGCUCAUUCGCAAGCAGUCCCAAGCUGGUGAGGGGGUCGAAAGUUUUGGAGCUCAAUCCACAGGAGCAGCUUCUUCCUUUGAAGAAAAAAAUGUGUUGAAGGGUGUGUAUACACAAGAAUUCCCCUUUAUUGAAAAAGUCAAGGAGAGGUUGCAUGAUGGUGACACUUACCAGGAGUUUUUGAAGUGCCUGCAUAUCUAUAGCAAAGAAAUUAUUAGUCGCUCAGAAUUGCAAAAUUUGGUGGCGGAUAUACUUGGAAAGUAUCCGGAUCUUAUGGAGGGGUUUAAUGAAUUUUUGUCACAGUGUGAGAAUAUCGAUGGCUAUCUGGCUGGUGUUAUUAACAAAAAAUCCUUAUGGACUGAAGGUCAAGUGGCUAAGCCCAAGGUGGAAAAGGACCGGGAAAAAGAUCAGGAGCGUGAACGAGACGAAAGGGAUAAAGAUAAAGAUAGGGAAAGAAAAGAAAGAGAUAGGCUUGAGAAAAAUGUCCCAUUUGUUCCCAGAGAUGUAACUAGCCACAAGGUCUCCUUGAAUCCGAGUAAAGACAAAUACAUGAAUAAGCCUAUUUCAGAGCUUGACCUCUCAAAUUGUGAUCGUUGUACUCCUAGUUAUCGCCUACUCCCAAAGAAUUAUCCAACACCUCCUGCUAGCCAGAGGACAGAGCUGGCUGCAGCAGUUUUGAACGACGUGUGGGUAUCAGUGACAUCUGGCAGUGAGGAUUACUCUUUCAAACAUAUGCGCAAAAACCAAUAUGAGGAGAGCCUUUUUAGAUGCGAAGAUGAUAGAUUUGAGCUGGACAUGUUGUUAGAAUCAACUAAUGUAACAACGAGGCGUGUUGAAGAAUUAUUGGAAAAGAUGCAAGACAGUAAUAGCAAACUUGAUGGCCAAAUUCGUAUCGAGGAUCACUUGACUGCUAUAAAUAUCAGGUGUAUUGAGAGAAUAUAUGGUGAUCAUGGUUUGGAUGUGAUGGACCUACUUCGCAAGAAUGCUGCUGUUGCAUUACCUGUCAUACUGACUCGCUUGAAGCAAAAGCAAGAUGAGUGGUCAAGGUGUCGUGCGGAUAUGAAUAAAGUUUGGGCUGAAGUGUAUGCUAAGAAUUAUCACAAGUCACUUGAUCAUCGGAGCUUCUAUUUCAAACAACAGGACAAGAAGAGUUUGAGCACAAAAGCUUUGCUGUCUGAGAUUAAAGAAAUAAAUGAGAAAAAGCGCAAGGAGGAUGAUGUGCUUCUGGCUAUCGCCGCGGGCAACCGACGGCCAAUUAUCCCCAAUCUCGAGUUUGAGUACAAUGAUCCAGAUAUUCAUGAAGAUAUAUAUCAAAUCAUUAGGUAUUCUUGUGAUGAGGUGUGCACUAACACGGAGCAGCUAGACAAGGUGAUGAGAAUUUGGACGAACUUCUUGGAGCCCCUUUUGGGUGUUCCCCCACGUCCUCAGGGUGCAGAAGACACUGAAGAUGUAGUGAAAUCUAAUAAGGGCCAUAACCACUCUGUAAAAACUAAUGGGACUAGUGCUGGGGAUAGUGAUGGUAGUCCCUGUGCUGCUGCUGAUGGUACUGGUACCCCCACUAACCACAACAAGCCUCAAGCACACCCUGGGGGGAGUAGUGAUGAACCAGCAACUGAACAAGCGCCAUCCUGCAAGGGUAGGUUGUUGGUUAAUUGUGGUAAUGGGGAUGCUAAUUUGUCCAGUAAGCAAGAUGUGCAUAAUGACACCGACCAAUUUGUUCGCAAAAGUGAUGGAAAAGUUGUUACAAAUGCUGCUGUUGUUUCUAAUCCUAUGGGUGAUGGAAUGCCAGGAGUCACCAUACAUAUGGCUUCUACUGAGCGAACUUCUGAUUCCAACUUGGCACAUGCUGUUGCUAGAUCAGAGAUGAAUCAAGGAAGAGUUAAUCUGGAGCAUGUAUUGGGAACUGGUACGAUGCUUUCUAAAGCUGGUCAUACCAUCACUGAAAGCGAGCUUGAGAGAAAACCUAAUGAUGAUAUGCUACUAUUGGGUGGGGAUGGUGGCGACAACAAUAAAGCAGUGGAAGUGACGAUAGAGAGGAGCAUGGCAGAUGCUAGUAGUAAGCCUGAUGCUUCUCCCUUGGUUUGCACUAGUACAUAUCGUGAGAAUUCUUCUAGCACCUUUAAGCCUGAAAGAGAAGAGGGUGAACUCUCUCCAAAUCCAGAUUUUGAUGAGGAUGGGUUUGUGGCAUACGGUGAUGGUAGUAUUGAGAACAUGUCAAAGGCAAAAGAUAAUAAUAACAACAAGAACAAUAGUAGUCCACUUGCAAGUGCUAGCAGGCAAUAUCAUCAUCAAGUUAGGCAUGGUGAAGAAGAAGAGAUUUGUUGUGGAGAAGAGGCAGGAGGGGAACAUGAUGCUGAUGCAGAUGAUGAGGGUGACGAGAGUGCCCAAAGGUCAUCAGAGGACAGUGAGAAUGUAUCUGAGGGCGGUGAGGAAGUGUCAGGGAGUGAGUCGGGUGAUGGGGAUGAGUGCUCUCGUGAAGAGGAGGAAGAAGAAGACGAAGAGCAUGAUGCUAAGGCUGAAAGUGAAGGAGAGGCUGAAGGGAUGGCUGAUGCUCAUGAUCUAGAUGGGGAUGGAAUUUCAUUGGCCUUUUCAGAACGUUUUCUGCUCUCUGUGAAGCCUCUGGCGAAGUUUGUGCCUUUGGCUUUACGUGGCAGUGAACAUAGAGGAUCAAGGAUAUUUUAUGGGAAUGAUUCUUUCUAUGUGCUCUUUAGGCUUCACCAGACAUUGUAUGAGAGGAUACUCUCUGCAAAGAUGAACUCAUUAUCUGCUGAAAAGAAAUGGAGAACAUUGAAGGAUACCAGUCCUCCUGAUCUCUAUGCCAAAUUUAGGAGCAUCCUUUACAGCUUACUUGAUGGCUCUGCUGACAAUACAAAGUUUGAGGAUGAUUGUCGUGCUAUUAUUGGUACACAGUCCUAUGUGCUAUUCACAUUAGACAAGUUGAUAUUUAAAAUUGUCAAACAGCUACAAGCUAUUGCAUCUGAUGAGAUGGACAAUAAACUCCUUCAGCUGUAUGCAUAUGAAAAUUCAAGGGCACCUGGAAAAUUUAUCGAUCUAGUUUAUCAUGCAAAUGCUCGUGUUCUGCUCUAUGAUGAGAAUAUGUACCGUUUUGAAUGUUCAUCGGGUCCGACUCGUUUGUCUAUCCAGCUGAUGGAAUCUGGGCAUGAGAAACCUGAGGUCUUGGCUAUUUCCAUGGAACCAUCCUUUGCUGCUUAUCUCUACAGUGAAUUCCUGGCAGUUAUCCCUUAUAAGAAGGAGAUUGAUGGGGUUUUCCUUAAGAGAACCAAACAGAAAUAUGGAAGUGAUGACGAGAGUUCCUCAUCUUGCUUGGCACUGGAAGGCGUUCGAGUGGUCAAUGGCUUGGAAUAUAAGAUUUCUUGCAACACUUCCAAGGUAUCUUAUGUUUUAGACACAGAAGACUUCCUGAUCCGAAUGGGGAGAAAAAGGCGACGAGGGAACUUAUCUAGCCAGGAUGAUACCAGUUCAUUGAACAACUAUGAGCCAAGAGUGAAGCGCUUCCGCAGGUUUUUGUCUCGUGCAUAACGUGGCGUGAGAACAGAAAGGUUAGAGUAGGAGUUUGUUCCUCAUCAAUUGUUUCAGCAUUUCCAGGGGCAAGCGGAGACGUCCCAAACAAAACAGCACGUGGCUGCAACAUAAAUACUGGAGGUAUUUGUCACUGGGUGGCAUAUCAAAGUGCUGAAAAGAAGCCAACCAACUCUCUCUUCUCCCGCCCUUCCUCUUUCUCUCUGCAAUAACCAGAGGGGAUCGCCACUCGUGUCAUUGUGCUUUAGUGAUUGUCACUCAUGUCAAUGUGCUUUAGCGAGACAGUUUGUUGUACAAGUGAUGGAUGUAAAUAGAGUUUUUUUGGUGUUAUACACAUUUGAUUAUUCUUAUAUGUAUGGAAUCGUCGACGUACACAGUUGCUUUCGGUGGCCAUGAGCUGCUCCCAUUGCGACUACUUUUUCUUCUUUUUUUUUUGCCUCCCUAUUUAGGUUAGGAAGCUGCAUUGUUUCUUACAGAAAACCAGAAGCAUUUCAGAAGAGAAGUGUUCUGUACCCUAUUGAUCUUGAUACUAUUCCCCUUGAUUGCAGAAUUGCGGUUUCUAAUGUUACAGGGUAUCUCAAGGAAGAAGGCUUUAGCCAACCUGUGUGGAUUGUUAAUCUCUUUUGAUUAUCUCAAGGAAGAAGGAUUUAGCCAA